UACGCAGGGCGCAAGCGUUGUCCGGAAUUACUGGGCGUAAAGCGUGCGCAGGCGGUUAUGCAAGACAGAUGUGAAAUCCCCGGGCUCAACCUGGGAACUGCAUUUGUGACUGCAUGGCUAGAGUACGGUAGAGGGGGAUGGAAUUCCGCGUGUAGCAGUGAAAUGCGUAGAUAUGCGGAGGAACACCGAUGGCGAAGGCAAUCCCCUGGACCUGUACUGACGCUCAUGCACGAAAGCGUGGGGAGCAAACAGG
rnacentral:rRNA from 1 species